AAACGUCCUUAAUUCCCUAAGUUUGGUGCGAAUGAUAUGCUCAUCCUCAGUACAAACAGACUUUGUAUAGGAAGGAGUUUCCCUUUUUAUACCAAAUUAUCAAUUAUUGAAGCUAGUAUAUUACUGGUGUUUGUAGUUCUCGAAAUUGCCUCAUUUGACUUGUUAGCACCUAACUGUGUAAUUAAAUCUUUCUGACAUCUAACAUGAUUCUCCUGUACCAAGUCAGCCUCAAUAUUUUACAUGUACAACCUUUUACGUUGGCAGAACUGCCUUCUAAUAUGCGUAAUUUAUUUAAAGGUGAGGAGAAAAAUUCAACAUUUAAAAUAUAAUCAACACAUUCUGCCAUAUACUUAGACAGGCAUGAUUGGGAAUAGAAACAUUAAAUGUUAUGAGAUAAAUUUGGGAUAACUCUACAAAUGUCUCCCUCUUUUGCUGUGUCUUCCAUUUCAAAAAAUUGUAAUCCCCAUAAACAUAAUUGAUUACAAUAAUUAAAUAAUUCAUCUGUAGAAUGGACAAUGUUCUCAGAUGGGAUAUACCCAUAAUACUUCAAAAAAGAUUCCAAUAUUUCCUGUUGAACCCUUACUUUAUUAGUUUUAGUGGCAGAUGAAAUGUUAUCUGGAAUAAUAAGAUUAGAAGGGGGAGGGGUGGUCCUUUUCAUUUUGAAUAUCAAAAAACGACAAAAACUGCUCUACAAUGAGCCCCUUAACCACAAUUUUAAUUAAAUCUGCAUGACCCAGGAAAUUGG
rnacentral:lncRNA from 1 species